CUUCCACCUGCCCUAUUUCCAGCCAUGUUUAAAAUGCACUGUAUCAAUCAAUGAGAAAUCACCGGCCUGCGUCAGUUCCUACGCACGCCUGCUCAUCAAAUGGCUUGAGGCUGAAUAAAUCUUGCUCAGUGGCACUGUGACAGGAAGCUGCCCAUGAUGUGUCAGGAUGGUAGGGCUGUAGAAAGACAGGCGGCAGCUGCAGGUGGUUUGGCACAGGCCUCAAUCCAAGCAUUCCCACUCGCACGCCAUUCAUAGAAUUUGUAUCAGUCAUUACAAGGGCUAACAGGGUCAUGGCUAAAGCCUAUAAUUGGUGCUACCUGCUCCAUAAGUGUUUCUGAACUAUUUGGAAUUCGUCCCAGUUGCGGAACAUGCAGACAGGUCUGUAGAUGAAAACCCUGUCAAGUUUUUCCUCAACUUUUAAACUGGUCACCUUGAUUUAAACAUCCAAAUAUUAGGUGUUGCGACACAAAGCUUUUAAAAGUCUUCCAUGUGAGAGUGUGAUAUAAAUAGAGGCUUUCUUUGGCUACAUGUGCUGCUUGCUCUCUCUUUUUGGGCACAAUGUACUUAGACUACAGCAGGCCCAGUACAGCUCCUUCAGUUCUUCAGCCAGAUUUACGGACCCUAGUUGUACAACUCGAAUACUUCCCAGGGCACAAGAACAACAGAUGGACCGUCACCCCUCCUCCAUCCUUGGCAUCUUAACCGUACAGUAUAAAGCUCAAAGUUUGGGGCUUAGGCUAGUCAUUUGCUAGUGGAGAAUAAGACUGGAAGAACAAGAGAAGAAAACCAAACCAAUCAAAUUAAGUGAAGAACUGGUACUAGAGUUGAGUCAAUGAUGAAGACACAAACUCAGGACACCCCAACAAAAUAUCAGGAGCACCUGAAGAGACAAAAAGACAUUCUGGCUUUCCGUAUGAAGAAGCUGUCAUCAAAACAAUCUGACUUCAAUAGCAAGGCUGCAGCUCAAAAAGACAAGAUUAAGAAAAAAUAUGAUGACAUGAAGAGGGUUUUGGAUGAGGAUCUGAGAAUUACACUGAACCAGUUGGAUAUUGAGACAGAGGCCAUGGAGAGAAAUGUUGAGGACAGUAUUGAGAAGUGUUACCUCCUCACGCGAGAAAUCGAUCAGCAGCUCACUGAACUGUCUGCACAGAUGGAGAAAGAUCAACAUCAGGUUCAACAGAAGGUGCAUUUUUAG
ensembl:lncRNA